CUAUUACGCUCCUUCACUUCGGUGUUGUAGAGCAUUCUGUGGAGUUAAUUGGGUGUCCAUUAGCAAUAAUGCAAAGCUCACUUCCUUCGUGGUUGUUUGAGCACUCUGGCCCCAUGUCACUCUGCGCAUGUCUGGAUGCGUCAUAUAUGUUUCAUUUAUAUUUACUUUUUCUUUAGGACAAUGUGUGAAAUAUGUGGUGGGUAAGUUGUUAUAAAUAGCUCCUGAAAUUUUCACUGCACACAGAUUAACCAUUUCCCAAAAUCCAAUUAAUCUAUUUUUGAUUAAAAGCAUGCUGUCCUUGCUUGGAACUCUGGAUAACGAUUUCUCAAUCAGAUUUCCUCUAAUAUUUUUGUUUUGAAACGACUCCAUUGCUCGACUCAUUUAUAGUUUCUCUUUGUUUCAGUUGGUUUAAAGGACCAGGUGGCGUGGCCACCCACAAACGUAAAAAUGACGUUUGUAAGGUAGGUACUUGUAUUCCUGAUUAAUGUUAACAUUCAGUGUUUAAUAUACUAUAGAUAGUUUCUUUAUACAUGAAAUUUAAAACAUGCAAGAGUAAUUUUUGGGGCAACCUAUAUGACAGUUGAUUUGCUGAUCUGCUCGAAAACUUUUACACGAAACACCUAGGAAGUAUAAAGCUACGUUUACAUGUUUAAACGUAAAGGUACGCGAUUUGUUAUGUAUCAUUCGUAUUGUAGCGUAUGUAAUCGAAUAAACACGCGUAAAGUGGUUGCAUUUCAAAUUUCGCCAUAAUCUGAAUGCCGGAGAAAUUGUGACGUCAGCAGUAAAUUUCAUACGCCAAAAUACCUGAGUACACAAACAGGUGGGAAAUUUGUCUGAGCGUGCGUGAGCAAAAUGAGCCACACAAUUGCGUGGAAUACACGCAACGCGUGUUUACAAAAAGGCACAAUCGUGUAAAUAUUGCCAAAUGUUUGUACAAAAUAAAUGACUGUUUUAUGUUGAAAAUGGACAUGAUCUAAAUUAAUCAUGCAGAAUUUUUUAGUGACGUUCUAUUUCAGUACCCUGCCAUUGUCUCUCGUGGGCUGUCCGUGUGCAUUCGAUCUGAAACAGUUGCUACUUUGCUGUCAAAAAAUUACGAAUGUUUACAUGAAAAUAGAGGCAAGUCAUGCAUUUUACAACCUCAUAAACUGUAUGAGCUCCAAUUUUUACGCUUAUACCUAAGAUAUCAAAUAAAAAUACAUGAAACAGAGAACAUUUUUAGAAUGUUUUAUCGUGAGGCCACGGCCAGUUUUUAAAAUAUCUUUAUUUCUGUUCCGGUCAUCACCAAAAUUACACUAAAGCCGGGCUUGAAUAUACAACAAAUUUUGAAUCUCAUCAAGUACAAAAAUAUUUAACGUGUAAUCAAGAUAUGCUCGUGAAAUCGAAAUUAAUAGCUAAAUUUUCAAACUAGACCCUUCUCGAAGCGGUUUUCAUGAAAGAAGUUCACAUUUUGGCCUUUGAUUCUUGGCAAAAAUUUGACAACAACACGUGCGAAGCAACUGGGUCUCAAAGACUCAGUUAAAACAUUGUGAGCCCCUGUUUUCCUGACGAUAUGUUUGAUACCUACAAACACCUAAAAGUUUUUUCUUUUCAUUUACCCAUAUUUGAAAUUGAGGCCACGGGCUAUUUUUGAGAAAAUACAGUUCAAAGUCAAGCUAUUUUUACAUAUUUUCAAAAUUUGUCAAAUUUCGCGAGCUUGUAUUUUGAACUUAGACAGCUGAAGUUACAUUAAGAAACAUAGGAUGGAAAAUUUGAGGCAUAUAAAGUUAAUUUCAACUUACAUUUCAUUCUCAUAUCAGGUCUUUCUUUGUUUAUUACGGUUUUAAACAAGCCACAGAACGACGUAUACGGUAUUUAGGGGCCGUCGACAAAUAGAUUUCGUCCCGCAUCGCGGACUUGGGCCGCGAUUGUUUGAACCCCCUCCCCCCCCCCUACCUCAUCGCGGACAAGUAAAAAAUCCAAAGAGAAUCGAAAUUAUGGUCCAAAAUAUUAUCCGAAAUAUGACUGUGAGCGGUCUACUAUAGGCAAGAAUACAGUAUGUAAUGCUGACUUUUAACAUUACAAUCAGCUAAUGCUUGUAAUAAAUAAAAACUAGUUUCCGUAUUGUUUAGCAGUUGUAAGUUAUAAAUACCCGAUUUGUUGUCCACAAAUGCAAUAUUUAUAUCCCCGAUUGAACGAAACUAGAAAGGUUGUGUCGAACUGCGAACUUAAUCGGAAAAGUCAACACAAAAUAUUCGGCGCGAUCAGUUAUUCCAGCGGCAACACAUAUCAAAUCGGAAUUAACCGUAAUGGGUUCGGGCAUAGGUUAUGUACUUCGAAAUGUAAAUAUCAAACGAAGUAUUGUUGUUGAGCUUUGUCCGCUUUUUGCCUCCGAACAUUUUGUGAGUAUAUUAUUUAAAAUGUACUACAUUUUCUUCUGAUCUUCGUAUUAUAUUUCUAAAGUCAGUUUUCGUCCCAAAUAUUUUGUAAUCGCGGAUUCUAAUCUACCCCCUCCCCCCCAUCGCGGCCCAAGUCCGCGAUGCGGGACGAAAUCUAUUUGUCGACGGUCCCUUACUCCCAUGUUCACGUCGCCAUAUUAACUUCUUCCAGUCACUCGAUUACAAAACAAAUCAUCCCAAACCAAAGAAUUCAUAGUCGACUUUUAAAAGAAUAACCGUUAAUUUGUAAAUCGUUGAAUGGAAAGCAAAAAAUCGUCAGCUAAAACAGCUUCUUGCUAACUUUCUGCUUUGUUUUGAAUGUAAUUAUGUAAAUGCAAUGAGCUUUGUUUCUGCCCGCGAUUUUUUGGUCAGCGACGACAAAUUUCCUACCUGUUGAGUACACAACAAAUCGUAGCGUGUAAACACAGAGAAGAAAUAUACAGAGAGGAAACUCGCGGCAAAUUACGUCACGCACUUUUUGCCGAUAUAUUAACUAUUUAAAAUUAUUAUAUUAAUUCACCAUUUUAUUAAAUUUUGAUAAUGCAGAGGAAUAAAACUAUACAUAUUAUAGAAGUAUUCAUGUUUUUUUAUGCGAGAGUUAUAUGUUGGGAAUUUAUAUCAUUCGUAGCCUGAAAACAAGGCGAAGAAAGAUUUCGGCAAAAAGUGCUUUAACUAAAAUGGUGCUGCUCUUUGAAAUAACGUUAUACUUACGAGGCGAGAAUUAUGGCAACUUUAUAGUGCCUUCAAAUGAUCAUGAAACAAAGAAUGCAUUAAAACUGGCUCAUCAAUUUUCAACUUUGAAUCUGUACCUAUUUGUCAUUUUAAUUAUCUUCUUGUUGCGUGGAGUACUACGUGCAUGUAUAUAGUGUGUAUAUUGUUCAUGUAUAUAUUGUCUGAUCAUGCGCCUGGUUUUGUCAGCCAUGCAACAUCAGAUUUUCACCUCUUGGUUCCGUAUUUACCGCUGACAAACCGUGAUUCUAAGCUUCCGACGACAUCUUUUUAUGCUUUUACCCCUGUGACGAACUUAUUAUAUCUUAUUAUAUCAUUAUUAUAUUAUUAUAUCUUAUAUCAUUAUUCUAGAGUAUAGCCGCUGCUAAGAUGGGGAAAUAAAAGGUACGUUAACGAUCUUGCAUUAAAAUGGGCAAAAAACGGGUAACGAACGGAUAACAAACGUUUUGUGAAAUCGUUUUAAACUGAUCGUGAGUAAACGAUGAAGACAAAAAAUAACGCUUUUCGAGCGGCUUUAACAAACCGUUCGAAUGAAAUUAAUAAACCGUUUAAACGAUAUUCGCCAAAACUUUCAACGCACCUGACUAACAGGAUGGUGUAAAGCCGCCGCAAACAAUAUACAAAAACUUCAGUACAACCAGAAUUAACAGCCACGCAUUUAUCCAGAUUACACUACAAAACACAUGAAAUCCUUUACUAUAGAAUUGCUCGAUCUUUUAGUAAAAUUAAAGCCAAGAAUAUUCUAGCGGUUACCCCCAUUUGAAUAGAUGGCGGUCAUGUUGGAGUUUCCCACUCGCUAAUAAACGCUCAAAAACAAAAAUAACUUUCAUCAUUUGAAUAGUUUAAAAAUGUAUUUGGAGUUAAGGUAAUUCCGCAGUAAUUGUUCCCGAAAUGAGAAUGUGCUGAAACUUCCCAGGCAUGGAGUUCAUGAUAUACUUAAAGUAAAAUCACACAAAAAAGUCGGGGUCACCGAACUCGUUAAGAAGAUAUGACAAUCACAAUAUACCACCUUUACCCCAAUAUGGCGCCAUCUUGACGCUCAUUACGAGUAACAGCAAACUCACAACAGCCCGAUAUUUAUUGACGUUUUUAGCGCGGAUUUUGCUUUAGUAAACCUAUAUUGUAAUUAUUUUUGAAAAAGUAUUGUGUUUUGAGCAAAAUGAAACUACUAACGUGUACAAUUCUGAUCCACAAAUGUCUUUUGCAUAUUUCUUUACAUAUCUUUCUUUAAGAACAUGCAUUGAUAAAGCAUUUUUUUUCAAGAUCCAGAAAUGAUUUUUCUUUUUAUUUCGGAUAUGAAAUGUAAAAUGCAUUAAAGAAAUAAAUUAUCAGUUAAAAAACGGGGGUCACCGAUCUUUUUAGGGAAUUGUGGGAUUAAAACGUGAAAUACAAGUAAACAAAUAUACUACAGACACAGGAACCCUAUAUAGCUACACUUUUGUAUGCCUUUUUUGAAAACAUUGAUUUUAACUAUACUACCUACUGUACACCGGACCUCAUGUUACUUUGAUAUAUCUUAUUCAAGUUGUUUUGAUACAAAACCAGUCUGCAGUAGUUCUAAUGUCAUGUCAAGGUGGGAACAGCACUGCCAUUCAAUGGGUUAAUGACAACAACAUGCACCUAACAGGUUAUAGCAGAGUACUAAAAUGCAAUUAUUCAUUUUUUAAUUAACAACAGGUGAUAUUGACGAGUCGCAUUUAACCAAUAUUACGCUGCCGGUUAUCAUUUAUUUUAUUAUUAUAGUGUCGUAUAGUUUUGUAUAUAUAGUGUUGUAUAGUUUUCUAUACUAUAGAUGUAGUAUAGUGCAUGUCGUGUAGUGUUGUAUAGUGUCGUAUAGCCUUACAUAGUGUUUUAUAUAUAGUCUUGCAUAACGUUGUAUAAUGUUGUAUAAUGUUGUAUAAUGUUGUAUAAUGUUGUAUACUGUCGUAUAGCCUUUAUAUAGUGUUGUAUAGUCUUGUAUACCCUUGUAUAAUAGUGUUGUAUGCUCUUCUGUAGUGUUAUAUAACGUUGUAUAUUGUUGUAUAGUGUUGUAUAGUGAUGUAUACUGUCGUAUAGCCUUACAUAGUGUUGUAUAGUGUUGUAUAGCCUUGUAUAAUGUUUAAUUUCAAAAUCUACUUUUGGAUUUAGCGUUCAAUAUAAAAAAUGCCGUCACACAAAUCUUUCCAUAUCAAAAGAAAACUGACCAAAAAGAUGAAGCAAAACCGGCCGAUACCACAAUGGGUGCGAAUAACGACAGGAAACACUAUAAGAUACAACGCCAAAAGACGUCAUUGGAGAAGAACCAAAUUGGGUCUCUAAACCAUUCUGAAACUGACCAAAAUAA